UAUUAAUCCAUUUAUAAAUUGUUAUUUUUGUAGACAUUAUGGCUAUUGUAGUCCACAUGGAUACAAUUCAUCGCACAAUGUGGGGCCCUUUCAGAAAGAUUGUUAUAAUGGAUGCUAGGGGGUCUUUACAUAUCAUUAAAGUUUGGGGUGACCUACUAAACAAAAAUGCACUCCGUUGGGCGUUGGCUAAGGAGGAUUAUGGCAUAAUAAUUGGGACUAUGUUUAGGCGGUUCAGAAAACAAGGUACAACAUGUCUUUACGCCUUGCAAACACAUCUGUCACUAAGUUUUGCUUUAUAAUGAUUCGUAACAUAAAUUUAAAUGUGUAAUUCUAGAGUUCCUCGAGUCUUCGGAUCAUACCGCAAUACACUUCAAUCCAUUCCAUCACAACACCCACUAUUUUGGACCAAUUCAAAAAGCUUUGGUGGCGCGGAACAACCGUCAGUUUGCUGUUACAUUUCUUGAAGAGCAAAGGCGUAGAUAGAUUCUACAAUUUCACAAAGAGCAAUAAUUGGAACUAUGUUUAGGCCUAGAUAGAUUCUACAAUGAUAGAAUACAUGUCGUACUGUUAUUGAUCAACCAAGAGCAACAUGAGGCUGAAUUGUAAUACCUAUGACAUGGGUUUAA